GGCGGCAACGCCCGCUCGCAGCGCCUUUUCCCGAGGAAAUAACCUCGGCCAGACCUCUGCAAAUGAAUGUUCUGGAAGUGAACAGAAAUCUGCCAUCAAAUCUUCUGGGAAUAAACGAGGCUUUAAGUUUCCUAUUUUAGACAAGAUAUCAGUCAAGCAGAAGCUGAAACCCAACAUAAGCUUUAAAAAAGUAGAGAAAGAUGUACUUGACCCAAAUAAAGUCACUGCAGUCUCCUAGCAGAAGACUCAGGAGAAGAAGGGGAUCGGUGUCGUAUAUGUCAGAUUGCUGGAGGUUCUCCUACCAAUCCGCUGCUAGAGCCAUGUGGCUGUGUGGGAAGCCUGCAGUUUGUUCAUGAGAAGUGUCUCAAAAAAUGGCUCGAAACCAAAAUAAAGUCAGGUGCUGAUCUGAGAGCAGUAAAGACAUGUGAGCUGUGUAAGCAGAGCCUAAAACUUGAUCUGAUUGAUUUUAACGUGAAUGAGUAUUACAGAAACCACCACUACUCAGAAGUAAGAAACUGCCUCUCUUCAGAUAUGAGCCUGUAAUCCUAUUUUGGUAUUGCUGCCUUGCAGUCUUUCAGUAUGUAGUGAAAUAUCAGCAUCCCCU